UCAUACUGUGCUCCUCUGAGCUGUCUGCCUCUCUCUGUUUGUAUUCGCUAGGAGACUGCAUGCACCUGUGUGUUUCAGCACUCACUGCUCUUCUGGUCUCAUUCCAACUGGUUGUUUAUCAAUGUUGUCAUGUUAACAGCUCGUGCUGCAGUCAGCUGGAGAGGAGCAGAACUGGACCUGAUAGAUUCUCAAUAACAAAAACUCUGGGCAAAGGAAUUGUGUUUGGAGAGUUUCUGCCUCCAUCUUGAGACGAAAGAAAUCUGAGGAACAAACUUGCCUAGCUGGAAUGAAGGACUGACAACAAGCAGACUUGUGUGGAAAAGGGUGGCUGUAGAAACUUCGGUAUUGGAUGGCGAGCAACGACCACGUUCCCCCCGGUAACCUGUUUUAUGCUGAAGCAUUGGCCUACACUACUCCUCAAGCCUGACUACAUCUGAUUCCAGAGGACGUUUGACCAUCAGGUACAGCCUGUGCCCUGCUGGUAUGUUGGCGAUUUAUAAUACUAACAGUUUUCUUUCUGUUAGAGUGGCUCAGACUAGUUUCUAAUUCACAACCUGUGAAGCGUACAUGAUGUUUUUUUUUCACUCUGCAUGCUUUUUUGAUGAUGUUCGCUAUGUGUUUUCUCACAAUUAUUUUGUUGAGUUUGUAAGCGAACAUAAAGUCCCGAUAAACAUAUUAUGAAAAAUUCUAAAUUUAUCAGAUUA